rnacentral:rRNA from 2 species
UGCAGUCGAGCGAACUGAUUAGAAGCUUGCUUCUAUGACGUUAGCGGCGGACGGGUGAGUAACACGUGGGCAACCUGCCUGUAAGACUGGGAUAACUUCGGGAAACCGAAGCUAAUACCGGAUAGGAUCUUCUCCUUCAUGGGAGAUGAUUGAAAGAUGGUUUCGGCUAUCACUUACAGAUGGGCCCGCGGUGCAUUAGCUAGUUGGUGAGGUAACGGCUCACCAAGGCAACGAUGCAUAGCCGACCUGAGAGGGUGAUCGGCCACACUGGGACUGAGACACGGCCCAGACUCCUACGGGAGGCAGCAGUAGGGAAUCUUCCGCAAUGGACGAAAGUCUGACGGAGCAACGCCGCGUGAGUGAUGAAGGCUUUCGGGUCGUAAAACUCUGUUGUUAGGGAAGAACAAGUACGAGAGUAACUGCUCGUACCUUGACGGUACCUAACCAGAAAGCCACGGCUAACUACGUGCCAGCAGCCGCGGUAAUACGUAGGUGGCAAGCGUUAUCCGGAAUUAUUGGGCGUAAAGCGCGCGCAGGCGGUUUCUUAAGUCUGAUGUGAAAGCCCACGGCUCAACCGUGGAGGGUCAUUGGAAACUGGGGAACUUGAGUGCAGAAGAGAAAAGCGGAAUUCCACGUGUAGCGGUGAAAUGCGUAGAGAUGUGGAGGAACACCAGUGGCGAAGGCGGCUUUUUGGUCUGUAACUGACGCUGAGGCGCGAAAG